rnacentral:lncRNA from 1 species
CUCAGCGUUCGCGGCUGGUAGCGGAAGUGAACUGGACUCGAAGAGGAAGACCGAAAGAAUCCGGCUCGGGAGGAAGAACGGGAGUGAGCUUGUAUUGGCGGUGCCGCCGCUACUGCGGAGGCGAGGAGCCCGAGCCGAGACAGUGAAAAGGAAUCUCCCUGAGCAGGGCGGCCGACGACUUGCAAGAGGAAAGCACAAGGAAAUUUCCCUUCUCAGCAGAUUUCUUGCGUCCGCCUUCCAGGAGGGUCUCCGGACUGAACCCCUAACAACGAGCAGGAAGCCGACGUUUCAUCACUUACCCUGUUCUCACCGAUGUUCCUGUGUUUGAGGUCAGUGGGAACAAAGCACCUUCCUGGAAUAUAGGGUCUCUCUGCACUUUUCCGCUCAAUCACAACCAUUGGGCUGCUUGUUGCUGUCAUUAAAGUCUUUGUAGCCAUCAACCCAAGUGCGGUUUCAAUGGGAAAAUGAAGGUAAAUAUUUUGGAGACAGAGUUUAUUUGGGGAUUGUUGGGGAAAACAGUAUAACUGCCUUAAA